rnacentral:rRNA from 1 species
ACGAACGCUGGCGGCGUGCCUAAUACAUGCAAGUCGAACGGUCUUUCUAUGGAAGCUUGCUUCCACUGAGAAGAUAGUGGCGAACGGGUGAGUAACACGUGGGUAACCUGCCCAUAAGAGGGGGGAUAACAUCCGGAAACGGGUGCUAAUACCGCAUAGUUUUCUUGAUCGCAUGAUCGGGAAAGGAAAGACGGCCUUUGUGCUGUCGCUUAUGGAUGGACCCGCGGCGUAUUAGUUAGUUGGUGAGGUAACGGCUCACCAAGACGAUGAUACGUAGCCGACCUGAGAGGGUGAUCGGCCACAUUGGGACUGAGACACGGCCCAAACUCCUACGGGAGGCAGCAGUAGGGAAUCUUCCGCAAUGGACGAAAGUCUGACGGAGCAACGCCGCGUGAGUGAAGAAGGUUUUCGGAUCGUAAAACUCUGUUGUCAGAGAAGAACAAGUUGGAGAGUAACUGCUCCAGCCUUGACGGUAUCUGACCGGAAAGCCACGGCUAACUACGUGCCAGCCGCCGC